UUCGUAAAGGGCUACCUUGCAAGCACCUGAAUGUCAUAUAUGUAGCGGAGAAGCUAUCUUAGCUGAUGGUGCAUUUAUUUUAUAGAAUUGGUAUAUGGAUGUAAUCUUACUACUUCGUGAAAUUGAUUUGAGUUACACUCUACACAAAUACUGCUUGAGUUGUUUGAACCUUGAAAAGAAUUAGGCCUGGUACUGAAUUAUUCCUGUAGGAUCGGAUCAUCUCUGAAGCAGCAAUGAUUAUUAUUUGGUCAACCUAUGGCUACCACCAAGUUUAUGCUGGGGCAGAGUACAGAAACUAUUGUACCCAGCUACUCGCGAAAAAAAGAAUUAUUGUGCCCAGCUACAAUAUUGUGGAGAGAUUGCAUACACGCUUAGGGUUCACUGGCAUCGAUCCUUCACACUAAGAACGAUUGCAGUCCCAGUAGUGGAUUCCACAGUUGAUCCAGGACAUAUCUCUUGUAUCCAAACAAAUAAACAUGAAUGAAAUCCAACAUGUUGCCAAACAUGUUGUCAGUAGGAUGUUGCUUUGUGAGGGCCACAUUCCUGAAGCACCUGAUAUAACAGAGGAGCUAUUUUACAGGAUGACUUGAAACGACUCUGGUGCAACCUUUCUGAAGAAACAAGGAUUAUUAUUUGUUCACUGUUUUGUUAUACUGGGGCAUUGUACCGAAAUCAUGUGCAGAGAUUGCAAGCGCAUAUAGUACAAGCUUAGGUUUCACUGGCGUUGAUCCUUUCCUGUAAGCCCGGCAGUGAAUUUUGCACUUUGCGUUCAGGACAAUACAAACAAUUAACCCUCCUGACAGGUUGAAGGAGCCGUGGAAUCCUGUAGUGAUUCGUUCAUAUUUCGAAGGUAUUCCACGCCUGGGACCAGUUUGCUUGGGUGACCGUAAUGGGAUGUCCUUGGUUCCUUGAGGGCUUUCUUGGGCGACAGUGAUGCAAUAUGCGGCACCGAACAAGCAGAGCAGGGAGUACAUUUUCUUUCUGCAUUCGCAUGCAAAGGUUGUCAAGCUGCGAGGCUAUUGGGAUCCAGCCUGCUCGGUCGACCACGGCUUCAAAAUAUUUUGUUUCGCGUGUGUAGAUUAGUACAAUUGUGUUUCUUCAUAGAGUAUUUUCGUUCCAUUUCGGAGCACAUAGCU